rnacentral:lncRNA from 1 species
UAAACAGUUAAAUAUUAGCAGUUUCACAGGGUCAACCUAAUAUUUUCCUCUUUCUCUUUGCUGUCUUUGAUUAAACUGUCAUUCAUUUAAUGUUUCCCCUUGGUAAUUUGGACAUUCUACUAUUUUUUCCUCAUUCCAUUUAUGGUUAUUGUUCCUCUCCAGGCAUGACAACUGUCCUUUAGCUGGGUCUAGGUGGGCAGAUAGUGCACCUGUGUUACGGGACUCCUGCUGUCUGCACAUCAGAAUUCUUGGACUUGCCCCCCAGAUCUGUGGUCUAUUCCUUCAUCGUUUUCAGCUCUGUGCAUCUUUCCCUUAAGUUCUGAGCUAUUUCUUCCAUUAGACCCAAGUGGCUUUUUCAUAUUCCCUCAAAAUAUCAAACUUCUUCUUUCCUCGGGGUCUUUGUACUUGCUGUGCUUUUGUCAGAAAUGGCUUCCUCUAGAUCUUUCCAUGCUCAGCCAGUGCCUUUGGGCUGAUCUUAGCUCAGAUGUUCCCUUCUCAGAUCUACCUCUCCUGCUGCCUUAGACAUAAACACCAUACUCUGCACUUUUGCUUGGUUCCUUUUCUCCAUUGUAGUCACUCUGCCUAUAAUUAUGUUAUUUGUUCUUUUACUGUCUGUUGCCUCUCACCCACCUCCGGACAAAUAAAUCAUUUGAAUUCUUGCUGUGUUUAUUCACGCUGCAUCCCUGGUGU